rnacentral:rRNA from 1 species
CACGUAGGGCGCAAGCGUUGUCCGGAAUUAUUGGGCGUAAAGAGCUCGUAGGCGGUUUGUCGCGUCUGCUGUGAAAACUCGGGGCUCAACCCCGAGCUUGCAGUGGGUACGGGCAGACUAGAGUGCGGUAGGGGAGAGCUGGAAUUCCUGGUGUAGCGGUGAAAUGCGCAGAUAUCAGGAGGAACAGCCGGUGGCGAAGGCGGCAUCCUGGACCGACAUUGACGCCUGAGGAGCGAAAGCUAGGGGAGCAAACGGG